UACGUAGGGUGCGAGCGUUAAAUCGGAAUUACUGGGCGUAAAGAGCUUGUAGGCGGUUUGUCGCGUCGUCUGUGAAAUUCCGGGGCUUAACUUCGGGCGUGCAGGCGAUACGGGCAAUACUUGAGUGCUGUAGGGGAGACUGGAAUUCCUGGUGUAGCGGUGGAAUGCGCAGAUAUCAGGAGGAACACCGAUGGCGAAGGCAGGUCUCUGGGCAGUAACUGACGCUGAGGAGCGAAAGCAUGGGUAGCGAACAGGAUUAGA
rnacentral:rRNA from 1 species